rnacentral:rRNA from 1 species
GUCUACCCUACGGGGCGCAGCAGUGGGGAAUCUUGCACAAUGGGGGGAACCCUGAUGCAGCGACGCCGCGUGGGUGAAGAAGUAUUUCGGUAUGUAAAGCCCUAUCAGCAGGGAAGAAGAAUGACGGUACCUGACUAAGAAGCACCGGCUAAAUACGUGCCAGCAGCCGCGGUAAUACGUAUGGUGCAAGCGUUAUCCGGAUUUACUGGGUGUAAAGGGAGCGCAGGCGGUGCGGCAAGUCUGAUGUGAAAGCCCGGGGCCCAACCCCGGUACUGCAUUGGAAACUGCCGUACUUGAGUGUCGGG